CCAAUAGCGUAUAUUAAAGUUGUUGCAGUUAAAAAGCUCGUAGUUGAAUUUUGGGUUUGGCUGAUUGGUCCGUUCUUGUAACGAGUACUGGUCGGUUGGGCCUCACCGCUUGGUGAUGCGUAAUGCCCUUUAUUGGGUGUUGCGAGUAGCCAAGACCUUUACCUUGAAAAAAUUAGAGUGUUUAAAGCAGGCAUAUGCCGGAAUACAUUAGCAUGGAAUAAUAGAAUAGGACAACGAUUCUAUUUUGUUGGUUUCUAGGACCGUUGUAAUGAUUAAUAGGGAUAGUUGGGGGCAUUAGUAUUCAAUUGUCAGAGGUGAAAUUCUUGGAUUUAUUGAAGACUAACUACUGCGAAAGCAUUUGCCAAGGAUGUUUUCAUUAAUCAAGAACGAAAGUUAGGGGAUCGAAGACGAUCAGAUACCGUCGUAGUCUUAACCAUAAACUAUGCCGACUAGGGAUCGGGCGAAGUUGUUUCAAUGACUCGCUCGGCACCUUAUG
rnacentral:rRNA from 1 species